GUAGGGGGCAAGCGUUAUCCGGAUUUACUGGGUGUAAAGGGAGCGUAGACGGCAGAGCAAGUCUGAAGUGAAAGCCCGCAGCUCAACUGCGGGACUGCUUUUGAAACUGCCAGGCUAGAGUGUCGGAGAGGUAAGUGGAAUUCCUAGUGUAGCGGUGAAAUGCGUAGAUAUUAGGAGGAACACCAGUGGCGAAGGCGGCUUACUGGACGAUGACUGACGCUGAGGCUCGAAAGCGUGGGGAGCAA
rnacentral:rRNA from 1 species